GGACAUGUCUCGGGUACGAAACCC
rnacentral:siRNA from 1 species